UUUCUUCCUUUCACUCUUCAUAAAACCUCUCAAGACUCCUCUAUAUGGAUAGAACAUCACUCUCUCUUUUUAUUCCUCACAAUAUAACAUCAUCAUCAUAAAAACCAUCAUCUUCUUCACAUAAUAAAACACAACAACUACACCUCUUCUUCAUUUUAUCAUCUACUACAACUUUAAGAUAACACAACCUUCACUUUAAUUCUCUCCAACUCACAUAACCACUAAUCAUCUUCUUCUGUAAACACAAAAACGCAAGUUACUAUUCACGAAAACCACCGCAUCACUUCCAACAACAACCGUUACUCCAUCCGUUUUGUUUUCAUCCUCAAAGCAACACACCAAAAAAAAAAACACCACAACACCGUCAGAAAGCCAUUGCUCCAACCUCCCAUACUCUCCAAAACCACUGUAUUUUCUUCCGACCGUGAAAAAUACGACGAACACCAUUUCAAGCCCUCUCUCCGUCCGAUCUAAAUGCAUAGUUUUCGCUACUAACACUCCAAAUUUUGCUGCUCAUAUUAACUAUAUCCCUAUAUUGAGUUGGAUGAACUUCAAGUCUUAGAAAGAAUAUAUGGAGAUCAUUCUUGGAUAUAUGGACUUAGACUUAUCCCUAAGAGAAGAACGUUUCAACGCCACUGCUGAGAACCCAAAUGAAACUAAAAUAAAAAAUGGGGCAUAUCUAUCUGGAUGCGUCUCAUGAUGAUCGAAAGAUCCAUACAUGAAAUGAUUAGGGGUUCUAUUGCUUUGAGCGAAAGCGCAAAAGGUUCCUUGAAACUAUGGAGCAGUUCUUUGCUAAAAAUAAUAAGGCUGAGACAAGUAAUAUAUUGUCUAAACUCAUUUCAAUGGGCUAUAAAGGUAAAAAGAACAUAAGGGAGUACAUUAUGAAGAUGUCUAAUCUCGCACUAAGUUAUAAUUAAUUGACCAUUAUUGAUUUAAUUCUAACGUGAUAUGGAGGCGCCAAUUUAGGAUGACAUAACGGUGUCUGUUCAUGCUGAUACAAAUGAGAGGUUUCGUAGAGGUCCGCCCCUCCGACCCUACCUUGCUCAGUAGGUACUCCGAUCAUGAGGCUUUUAGAUCAUGACAUACAGGGACACACUCCAUUUAAGGUCCCAUUCAUGGCUCGAAGAUGAAGAAAUUCUCGGCAGUGCAAAUGCUAGGUUAGGUUAGAGAAAUUGUUAUUGAUGUUGACUUACUGCCAUUGGUUUAUUGUUUUCUCACCAUGCUUAACGCUCCCUUGAUAUCUUCCUUUGUUGAGCCUUGGCAUACAGAUACAUCUCCCUUUUAUUUUAUCUUUGGUGAUAUGAUGAUUACUCUGGAUGUUGUCUUCAGCGUCAACAUGGUGUUAAUUGCAUUUAAGCAUUUACACAAAUCUCCUUGACUAGUAUGUAACAUGUUUGUUAGUCACAAACGUGAAGACUUCGCCCAAUAAUACAACAUUAGAUAAAAAUUCAAUAAAUAAUUUGAUUAAAAAUUGCGCAAUAAUAUUAUACUCACAAU